GACGAACGCUGGCGGCGUGCUUAACACAUGCAAGUCGAGCGGUAAGGCCCUUUCGGGGGUACACGAGCGGCGAACGGGUGAGUAACACGUGGGUGACCUGCCCUCAGCUCUGGGAUAAGCCUGGGAAACUGGGUCUAAUACUGGAUAUGACUCCACGGUGCAUGUCGUGGGGUGGAAAGCCUUGUGCGGCUGAGGAUGGGCCCGCGGCCUAUCAGCUUGUUGGUGGGGUGANGGCCUACCAAGGCGACGACGGGUAGCCGGCCUGAGAGGGCGACCGGCCACACUGGGACUGAGACACGGCCCAGACUCCUACGGGAGGCAGCAGUGGGGAAUCUUGCGCAAUGGGCGAAAGCCUGACGCAGCGACGCCGCGUGAGGGAUGAC
rnacentral:rRNA from 1 species